CUCACAUCCCAGAGGCGGCCCUUCCAGAUAACGGAGUUGACGGGGGCAGGAUCUCUGGGGGAGCCACUCUUGCUAAGCUGUGUAAAGCACUAUUGUCUUGGGGUUGAUCUCUAGGGCAGUUCUUGGUAGGUUCUGCUGGGCAGAACACGUGGGUUAAAUCUCCGUAGAGUUUCCUCAUCUUCUCUCCAUAAGUGUCCUUCCAAGCAAGGUCCCACUUGAGGCAGCAGUCAGGGACCGCUUCUACUGAACCUUUGAGGAAAGGAGGAAGGAAGAAAUGCUUUCAGAUCUCGGAUGCACACCUUUCAAAGGGCUAAGUGUAACCACAUGGGUCAACCACAUGCACAGCCUUACUACAGAAGCCGUCCUUUCAUUUCAACUUAUAGCAAGAUUAAAUUGCCAGUAUUUUUGUAAGGUUCCAUUUUGUAAAGAGAAUAAUAUUCAAAGACUUUUGUAGAAUACAAAGUGAAAAUUUGUAUCUGCGAAACUAUACUUGUAUUAAAUGUGCUUUUUAAAUAAAAGCUC
rnacentral:lncRNA from 1 species